rnacentral:rRNA from 1 species
AUGCAAUGCAAGGAUCUCCCAGCUAGCAAGAUCAUGCAGCAUAUCCCAUCCCCACCCCGGCCGCCACAAGCAAAUCAAAUGGCGACGCCCAACAUAGAUUCAAUUUCAGACACAAAAUUGUACGAGCUGAAAGAGCAGCUUCUGCUGCUGACCACUCUGGUGGCGACGGUGACGUACGUCACCGGGCUCAACCUGCCCGGAGGAGCCUGGCAGAUGCAGCAGGCGGACGGGCACGGCCCACUCGCCGGCGACCCGAUCCUCCGGGACAUCCACUACCGCCGGUACCUCGCUUUCUACUACUGCAACGGCACGGCGCUCGCCUCGUCGGUCGUGGUCUGCCUCAUCCUCGUCAUGCUGCGCAGGGACAGCCCGGCCUGGUCGGUGGUGCUGCGGGUGGUCAUGGUGCUCGACCUUCUUGGGCUCAUGGGUUCCUACGCAGCCGGGACCUGCCAUGACACCUUCGCCACCAUCUGGGUCGUGGCGCUCGCUUUCCCAGUCUUGGCCUACAUCACGUACGCUUUCGUCUGCUACCUCUGUUUGCCCCUCCGCCGCGACAACCACACCCCCAGAAACACAAACACAGGGUACCAAGAGAAGGAGAAGAUCGAGGUGCUAAUGUUGCUGGCCACCUUCGCAGUCACUAUCUCCUACGCCGCCGGGCUGAACCCGCCUGGCGGCUUCUGGACCAGCACCGGGCACAAGGAUGGCCGCCUUCUUCACCUCGCCGGCGACCCCAUCAUGGAAGAUAGCGCGCUCCGGAGGUACCGGGCCUUCUUCGUCUGCAACACGACGGCGUUCGUCGCCUCCUUGCUCAUCAUCCUGCUGCUCCUGGACAAGAACUUGAGCAGGACCAUCUCGGCGAGGUUCGUAGCGGUCUACGGCUUCAUCGGGGUGGCGCUCCUGGGCCUCAUGGGGGCCUAUGCUGCUGGCAGCUGCAGGGAGACUGACAAUACCAUCAAGGUCCUCUCCCUGGCCGCUGGGGUUCCUAUCUGCGUAAUCCUGCAGCUGGCUCUCAACUAUGUCUUCUAUUGGCCAAUCAAGAACAUGUGUGAUAGUUUCACGAGAUGGUUGCAGAACUUGAGUCCCGGAGGUGCGAGCGCACUCGCGGAUCCAGACCUGAAAAACACUCGAUUUUUCGUUAUGGUACUUGCUAGCUUCGCGGUGAGCAUCACCUACCAAGCGGGACUGGAUCCACCAGGCGGCCUCUGGAAAGAUGACCUGAAUGGGCAUAAGAUCGGCCACCCGGUUCUCCGGACCACACAUCCUGCUCGGUACCAGGUCUUCUUCUACAGCAACUCAGCAGCUUUCGUGACAUCUCUGGUGGUGGUGAUGAUGGUCCAGAGCAAGUUCCUGUUGAAGCGCCGUACGUUGGUGGCAGCCAUGGUGCUGGACUUGAUCGGCCUCGUCAUCGCCUAUGCCGCCGGGAGCACCAGGGAUGCAAGCACGUCCAUCUAUGUCGUCGCGGUGGCUUGCCUUGUCCUCUCCUACGUCGUCGUCCAUAUCGCGUUAGGAGGAGAGAAGGAGAAUGUCGCUGCUGAACCUGCUCCUGCUGCUGGUACGGUAGCUCCUGAUCCUGCUACUCCUGCUGCUACAUCUGCUAGCCCUGCUGCUACUCCUACCGCUCCUGCUUCUCCGGUAGUGGUAUUAGGAGGAGGAGGGGGAGGAGGAGGGCGACGAAGCAAGGAGCAGCUGGAUGACAAGCGUCAGGUGCUGCUGCUAAUCGCCAUCUUGGCCGCGGCGCUUACCUACCAAGCCGGCUUGACCCCGCCGGGCGGCUUCUGGCAAAAGGACGACGAGGUUCAUGGCCACCGUGCGGGCUACCCGGUCCUCCUCGACAACUACCCGCGCCGCUACAAGGCCUUCUUCUACUGCAAUGCGGCGAGCUUCAUGGCGUCGGUGGCUCUCAUCCUCCUCCUCGUGAACCGCAAGCUGUACAGGCCGGGAAUACGGUGCUACGCGCUCCACGUGUGCAUGGCGGUCGGCAUGUUCGCACUCAUGGGCGCCUACGCUGCCGGGAGCUCCCGGCAUCUUAAGACCUCCAUCUAUGUGUUGACGCUAGUGAUCGCAGUGUCGGCCUCCAUACCCCUGCAGGUAGCCAUGUUCUGGUACAUCCGCAACUACAGGAGAAACCACCAACAUGAUGAAGGCAGAAUAAGACGACGGCGAACACGCGGGCUAGACAGCCCCGACCAGGAGAAGGACGAGGAGUUGGAGUACCUGAUGCUGCUAGGAGUCCUGGUCGCGAGCGUGACGUACCAGAGCGGCCUGAGACCACCGGGCGGCCUGUGGGAAGAGGGCAACGCCGCCGGCAACCCCAUCCUGCACGACGUCAACAAGCGCCGGUACGACAUCUUCCUGUACAGCAACUCCACUUCGUUCAUGGCGUCCGGGAUGGCGAUCGUCAUGCUGCUCCCGUUCACGCUGAGCAACCUCGAGUGGCGCUUCUUGCCGUCCCAGAGGAGGAACCGCAAGUGGCCGCUCUGGCCGGUCCACACGGCCAUUUUGCUGGACAUGCUCGGCCUCCUGGUGGCCUACGCGGCAGGAAGUACCAGGACGUGGAAGUCGUCCAGGAACGUCAUAUUCAUCCUCCUCCCCGUGCUAGCCUACAUUGCGCUCUACGCAGCAAUAGUGGCGAUAUACAUAUACAUCUGUAACAAAAAUCGCACAUCCUCCCAGUUGCCGACCACGCAGGCAGACCAACAAACAACAAACGCUUAG